AAUCAACGCUGGCGGCGUGCCUCAGACAUGCAAGUCGAACGAUUAAGACUUCCUUCGGGAAGUGCAUAAAGUGGCGCACGGGUGAGUAACGCGUAAGUAAUCUACCCUCGAGUGGGGAAUAACGUUCGGAAACGGACGCUAAUACCGCAUAAUGCAGCGGCAUCGCAAGAUGACAGUUGUUAAAGGAGUAAUUCGCUUGAGGAGGAGCUUGCGGCAGAUUAGCUAGUUGGUAAGGUAACGGCUUACCAAGGCUACGAUCUGUAUCCGGUCUAAGAGGACGGUCGGACACACUGACACUGAAUAACGGGUCAGACUCCUACGGGAGGCAGAAGUCGGGAAUUUUGGGCAAUGGGCGAAAGCCUGACCCAGCAACGCCGCGUGAAGGAUGAAGUAUUUCGGUAUGUAAACUUCGAAAGAAUGGGAAGAAUAAAUGACGGUACCAUUUAUAAGCUCCGGCUAACUACGUGCCAGCCGCCGCAGUAAGAC
rnacentral:rRNA from 1 species